AUGCACGCUGGCGGCGUGCCUAAUACAUGCCAGUCGAGCGAACAGACGAGGAGCUUGCUCCUCUGACGUUAGCGGCGGACGGGUGAGUAACACGUGGAUAACCUACCUAUAAGACUGGGAUAACUUCGGGAAACCGGAGCUAAUACCGGAUAAUAUAUUGAACCGCAUGGUUCAAUAGUGAAAGACGGUUUUGCUGUCACUUAUAGAUGGAUCCGCGCCGCAUUAGCUAGUUGGUAAGGUAACGGCUUACCAAGGCAACGAUGCGUAGCCGACCUGAGAGGGUGAUCGGCCACACUGGAACUGAGGCACGGUCCAGACUCCUACGGGAGGCAGCAGUAGGGAAUCUUCCGCAAAGGGCGAAAGCCUGACGGAGCAACGCCGCGUGAGUGAUGAAGGUCUUCGGAUCGUAAAACUCUGUUAUUAGGGAAGAACAAAUGUGUAAGUAACUAUGCACGUCUUGACGGUACCUAAUCAGAAAGCCACGGCUAACUACGUG
rnacentral:rRNA from 1 species